GCGCGAUCGGCCAAUGAGAGCGCGCGAUGCCUAUUCUCCAUGCAAAUCUCCUGGUUUUUUAUUUGAAUGAGGGAUUUUGGCCACGCCUCCUGCCUUGAAAAAUGAGGCCCGUCUGCCGUGGUGGCGCUGCGGUCUUUUCAAUCGCGUCCGGAGGUGAAUUUUUUUCCGGUUGCCUCUUUUUUAAUCCUCGAGGUGUUUUUUUGUUUUGUUUUGUUUUUGCAUGGAGAUUCCUCAGUAGCCACCCCUCCAUGAAACUUGAGAAAAGAAGUAGACAGAUCAGAGAACAAAUGUAAAAUCUCAUCAUCACGACUCAGGACCCACUUCCUGAACCACUGAAAGGUGUUAGGGAAUGGAUCUGGACCCUGGAUAUUCUGAGCUCUAUGCCCAGCUCCUGAGGAUUCCUGAUGGACAUGAGAUUAAGUAUUGUUGAUACCAAUUCCAGGAAUUGAAACAGUCUCUACAGGAAGUAGGGAGGGCAGUUUGAGAGACUCAGGAAGUACACAAACUUCACGAAGGCUGGGAAAGAUACAAUUUACAAGACUUAC
ensembl:lncRNA AABR07062350.1